CCCGCCCCCAUCUCGUGCUCCGUCGCCGGCCCCGCCCUCAUCUCCUGCUCCGUCGCCGUCCCUACUGCUCCACCGGCCCGACCUCUUGUUCGGGCACGGCGGAGGAUGUGGUCGUGGGCCACCGCCGCCGCUGUUGUCGUGGAAACCUAGGGCACGGCGAUGGGGAUCGGUGCCGCCGUUCCUGCUCCUACUAAGAAGAGGCGCUCCUCAUCGGCCCCCUCCCACGUCACUCCUCGUUCCUUGCUCGAGGUCUGGAGCGUCACGGACGCCGUCAUCACCCCGCCCCGGCGCAACCCGGUGCCCGACAAGGAUCGCUUGCGAGCCCGGCGACCAUCAUGUGUGCACUCUCGACGCACCAUGUGGUGUAUGCCACAUUGCCGUGUGGGUUGGGCCUGCAUGGCGUGCCGAUCUGCAGCACAUCCUCCGCCUCGUCACUGGCCGAUCUGUAUGCGUUUUCUCAGAGCUAGCCGUAAGGAGGCCGAUGGCUUCCCGUUUUAGUAACGCGAUGCUGAAGCGACAACACAAACACACCAUGUUCUAUUAUUAUUCCUUUUGAAGAUCACACCAGGUUAUAUUUGUACACCAUUUUUCUACCAGUAAUUGCUGAGUAUGUGAACACAAUCAUGUGUGAGCAAAAGUUGAACUAUAAGUUGCGGUAUUUGAGAUGUGUACACAUAGAAAGGCAUCAAUUCAAUUAAUCGUCAGAUUCAGAAUAGUACAUGUACAGUAGCUUCUAUCUCAAUUUGUUUUUUAUGUUGUUUGUGUCUGAAUUAAUUAGUACAUUGACCAUCGUGUUUGUUCAGCCUACAAGGUGAUUACCACCCAGCAAACUAUUGGAAAGAUGCUGAUAGCUUGUUUUUGAAGCUCUGAAGACAUGAAGAUUCAAGAAUAGAUCCGUCGAUGAAGAAAACAACACAUUUAAAGAUAUGGUGGUUGGUACUUCCAGUUUUGUUGUACUCUGUCAUUUACCAUUGUGGGAAUGACACUGCUCUAUUGCUUCCUUAUUUAAGAUAAUGGAGCACAUCAGUCAUACAGAAACAAUCAUAUGUUGAAGGAGGGACUUGGAACUUUCACUAAAAAAUGGUAAAUGGAGAGGCUCUGAUGUUGAGAUAAAAAGAAAUGACCAAUAUUUCAUUGGGAAGCGAACUCAGCAAGAAAAAAUAGUAUAAUCCUUACAUUUUUCAGAUUACUCUUAUUUGCUUAUGCAUGUCCCUGUACAUGAUGUUUAAACGUAGAAAAAUAUUCAUUUGACACUGAAUGACCGAAAAUUAUAUUUUGUUUCUAUUUCAAAAAUUAAUUGACUAUGAAUGAGGAAGAUAUAUCGAUUAUUGCAUCCUGCUGUGUUAUUGUUGGGUGCAGCAAUUUCACAACUCCGGGAAGAGCUUCUGCGGGAGGACGUCACCUCGGCAUCACCUGCAUCGACCUCCCCGAUCGCCAUCCUAAGGAUGCGCGACCAACUUGCGGAGCAGGGCACGGUUGAUAAGUUCACCGAUUUUGACGACUCACUGUUCCCUUUCUCUGUCAAGGUAACGUUGCCCAUUGUUACUGGGUUGUUAAUUCAUGAGGCCCCUUAUUGCGGCUACAUAGUCUGUUCAUCUCACCUGCCUUCUUAGGAGAAACCAUGUAUUGAAGGUAAGCAAUUCUUUGUUUACAUUUCAUUUGUUUCUUCCUGCUGCAUGUACGAUUUGCUUUGGAGUUAUUCUGACUACCUGCAUUAAUUCUAGAUCCUACUUGCACAGUUGGUUGUAGUUUGUGUGUUGAGAAACAUCUCCUAAUCAAGUAUACAUUAAUAGUUGCAACUUCUGUUUGUUGAAUGUGCCAUGAUAGCUUUAGGCCUUUUGUUGUACAGAACUGCCAAAGUAGGUGACAACCACCGGCAGCUCAAUCCUUGUUUUACUCGACACUGACAAGCUAAAGUAAAUGCGGAGCCAAGAUCUAUUGUUGUAAGCCUUUUGAGGGGUUAUACAAAGUAACAGUACUGCACUAUGAGUAUGCCCUUAGUAAGCUCUGAUUUGCCCUUUUCUGCAACACUAGGUUAUAGAAGGAUGAAUGGUGGCAAGUAGGACACCACUAUCUGAGAUUGCAAAUUUAGGACCAUGGUGGCACACAAAAAAGGAAACUUGGUCUGAAACAAAUUUCCAAAUGCUAGGAUCAACAUUUCUUUUCUAGAGCAUCUCCUUCUCGGGAAAGUUGUUGUCGAGAAAUUAAUUGAUGUGUUCCUUUUUUUAGGAAAAAUCGAUAUAGACCUUGAUAGCUACUCCCUCUGUAAACUAAUAUAAGAGCAUUUAGAACACUAUUUUAGUAAUCUAAAU